rnacentral:rRNA from 1 species
GACGAACGCUGGCGGCGUGCUUAACACAUGCAAGUCGAGCGGUAAGGCCCCUCCGGGGGCACACGAGCGGCGAACGGGUGAGUAACACGUGAGCAACCUGCCCCUGACUCCGGGAUAAGCGGUGGAAACGCCGUCUAAUACCGGAUACGACCCUCCGGCUCAUGCCGUGGGGGUGGAAAGUUUUUUCGGUUGGGGAUGGGCUCGCGGCCUAUCAGCUUGUUGGUGGGGUAAAGGCCUACCAAGGCGAUUACGGGUAGCCGGCCUGAGAGGGCGACCGGCCACACUGGGACUGAGACACGGCCCAGACUCCUGCGGGAGGCAGCAGUGGGGAAUCUUGCGCAAUGGGCGAAAGCCUGACGCAGCGACGCCGCGUGGGGGAUGACGGCCUUCGGGUUGUAAACUCCUUUUACCACUCACGCAGGCCCGGAGUGUUCUUCGGGUUGACGGUAGGUGGGGAAUAAGGACCGGCUAACUACGUGCCAGCCGCCGCAGUAA